GAUGAAGAACGUAGCGAAAUGCGAUAAGUAGUGUGAAUUGCAGAAUUCAGUGAAUCAUCGAAUCUUUGAACGCACAUUGCGCCCCUUGGUAUUCCAUGGGGCAUGCCUGUUCGAGCGUCAUUUGUACCUUCAAGCUUUGCUUGGUGUUGGGUGUUUGUCUCGCCUUUGCGUGUAGACUCGCCUUAAAAUAAUUGGCCGCCGGCGUAUUGAUUUCGGAGCGCAGUACAUCUCGCGCUUUGCACUCAUAACGACAGCGUCCAAAAGUACAUUUUACACUCUUGACCUCGGAUCAGGUAGGGAUACCCGCUGAACUUAAGCAUAUCAAUAAGCGGAGGA
rnacentral:misc_RNA from 1 species